AGAGGAAGAUGAGUCAAGGCAGGUGCAAGAAGAAGGAGAACAAGCAGCUCCCAAAGACUCAUCACUCCAAGCAGAAGAAUGCCUGCAUUCAGAUGCAUCUGUACAGACGAAGUGUGAGCCUUCAAAGUGUACCAGACGGACGCCGUGCCUGACGUCUCGCAGCCGGAGCCCGACGCCGUGCCUGCGGCGCAGCCGGAGCUCGACGAGGAGCCGCCGCCGCCUCCGCAGCUGCUGGAGCUGGAGGAGGUUUGCCCCGCGCCCACGGAGGAGAUCCCGGAGGGGACUGAACACCUGGUGCAGGAGCCGGACGACGAGCCGUCGCCGGAUGCUGAGGAGGAGGCAGAACGGGAGCUUCUGGACGCCGAGCUCGGAGAGGCGUGCCAUGACACGGGUGAACCUGAACAGGUAAUGGAGCCACGUGAACCAGACUAGCGAGCUGGUCUCCCUGCUGGCAGAGGCAGGUUCAGUCCACAUCCCGGGUCAGCCGUCUGGUGCCCGUGAUUGUGAAACCGGAGUGCUGGCGUCCGACAGUGCUCUGGCUCACGUCGCAGGUUACGUUGCGCGAAAGCGCCCGCGAUCCCUCGGCGCACCCUCCGCCCAUGCCGAGGACGUCCCUGUCCAGGCACUGUGGACGCGGCUGCGCAGUGUUGGAGGCAUGACUGUUCCCACCGAGUCUUUCUUGGAACUGUGCAGGGAGCUCGAGACCUGUUUCUGUGCCUACCACGCGAUGCACCCCGAUGAGCUCAGUCGAGAGCGCGGCGUCAUCCGCAACGCCACCCGUAUGAUGGCCGAGAAAUAUUCGCGGGGCGUGCAGUGUGACAAAAUCCUGAAAGUGUUCGUUCGUGUGCGAACCUUUAUCCGCCUGCGAACAGCGAACUCGACUCGACGUGCGGAGACGCUGGCUAAGCGGAAGGUGCGGAAGCUGCGUCACCACGCACAAUAAACAGAUUGGCA